rnacentral:rRNA from 1 species
AAACCAGCACCUCAAGUGGUCAGGAUGAUUAUUGGGCCUAAAGCAUCCGUAGCCGGCUCUGUAAGUUUUCGGUUAAAUCUGUACGCUUAACGUACAGGCCGCCGGAAAUACUGCAGAGCUAGGGAGUGGGAGAGGUAGACGGUACUCGGGAGGAAGUGGUAAAAUGCUUUGAUCUCUCGAUGACCACCUGUGGCGAAGGCGGUCUACCAGAACACGUCCGACGGUGAGGGAUGAAAGCUGGGGGAGCAAACCGGAUUAGAAACCCGAGUAGUCC